rnacentral:rRNA from 1 species
CCCUUAGAUGUUCUGGGCGGCCCGCGCACUACAUUGGCACUGGCAACAAGAUCCUAGAUCUGAUAUUUCGGGGUAUUCUACCAACUGGUGUCGUGACUGGGAUUAACCCCUGCAAUUAUUGGUUAUGAACGAGGAAUUCCUUGUAAUCACGGUUUAUCAACCCGUGUUGAAUGCGUCCCUGCCCUUUGUACACACCGCCCGUCGCUCCUACCGAUGAAUCGUCCGGUGAAGUUCAUGGAGUCGCUGCUGCUCCAGCUGUUUUCGAAGUGAAAUGGACCUCAUGAUUUAGAGGAAGGAGAAGUCGUANCA